rnacentral:rRNA from 1 species
GAGGAAUAUUGGUCAAUGGGCGAGAGCCUGAACCAGCCAAGUCGCGUGAAGGAUGACUGUCUUAUGGAUUGUAAACUUCUUUUGUAGGGGAAUAAAGAAUGGUACGUGUACCAUAGUGAAUGUACCCUACGAAUAAGCAUCGGCUAACUCCGUGCCAGCAGCCGCGGUAAUACGGAGGAUGCGAGCGUUAUCCGGAUUUAUUGGGUUUAAAGGGUGCGUAGGCGGCCUGUUAAGUCAGCGGUGAAAUCUAGGGGCUUAACUCCUAAAUUGCCAUUGAUACUGGUGGGCUUGAGUGUAGAUGAGGUAGGCGGAAUGCGUGGUGUAGCGGUGGAAUGCAUAGAUAUCACGCAGAACUCCAAUUGCGAAGGCAGCUUACUAAGGUACAACUGACGCUGAAGCACGAAAGCGUGGGUAUCAAACAGGAUUAGAUACCCUGGUAGUCCACGCAGUAAACGAUGAUAACUGGGCGUAUGCGAUAUACAGUAUGCUCCUAAGCGAAAGCGUUAAGUUAUCCACCUGGGGAGUACGCCGGCAACGGUG